rnacentral:rRNA from 1 species
AGCGAACGCUGGCGGCAGGCUUAACACAUGCAAGUCGAGCGCCCGUAGCAAUACGGGAGCGGCAGACGGGUGAGUAACACGUGGGAACGUGCCCUUCGGUUCGGAACAACCCAGGGAAACUUGGGCUAAUACCGGAUACGCCCUUACGGGGAAAGAUUUAUCGCCGGAGGAUCGGCCCGCGUCUGAUUAGCUAGUUGGUGGGGUAAUGGCCCACCAAGGCGACGAUCAGUAGCUGGUCUGAGAGGAUGAUCAGCCACACUGGGACUGAAACACGGCCCAGACUCCUACGGGAGGCAGCAGUGGGGAAUCUUGGACAAUGGGCGCAAGCCUGAUCCAGCCAUGCCGCGUGGGUGAUGAAGGCCCUAGGGUUGUAAAGCCCUUUCGGCGGGGAAGAUAAUGACGGUACCCGCAGAAGAAGCCCCGGCUAACUUCGUGCCAGCAGCCGCGGUAACAC